rfam:Camelus ferus unplaced genomic scaffold scaffold1407, whole genome shotgun sequence.
GAGGGUGCAGCUCAGUGGUAGAGUGUGUGCUUAGCAUGCAUGAGGCCCUGGGUUCAAUCCUUAGUACCUCCA